GCAUUAUAUUAUCUUACAAUGCAACAAUUCUGAAUGUGACUGGAAGCAUUGCUUUCACACAUCUCAAAAGCAAGGGCCCUCAUACAAUGUAAACACAAGAGCAGUCUUGGCAUUCAGGGAAAUUGGUCGUGGACACAGUGCCAUGGUGACAUUCACUAAAGUAAUGAACAUGCCAUCACCACCAACUGGCCGUAACUUCACGAAAAUUCAAAACAAUAAACUAUUGCCUGUUGUAAAACAAUUGGCAAAUGACAGCAUGAUGACCAAUGCCACAAGUGUCAAAGAAGUUUGUGAUAAUGAUAUGGGAGAGUGUGGGAUCUCCCUUGAUGGAAGUUGGCAAAGACGAGGCCAUACUUCGCCCAAUGGUGUCGUCACUGCCAUAUCAUUAGACACAAAGAAAUGUCUGGAUGUAGAAAUUAUGUCAGACAAGUGCAAGGCAUGCCAGAAAUGGGAAAAAAGAGUUAAUGACCCUAAAUAUCCAGAGUGGAAAGCUAACCACCAGUGCAAAAUUAACCAUACUGGAAGCGCGAACAGCAUGGAGGCAGCUGGUGCCUUGCGGAUUUUUCAAAGAUCCUUCAUUUCACGGGGACUCAAAUACAAGAACAUGCUUGGUGAUGGUGAUUCCUCCACAUACAAUAACAUUGUAGAAAGCAAGCCCUAUGGUGAGGAGUGCAUUCCAAACAAGCUUGAGUGCAUAGGUCAUGUACAAAAGAGAGUCGGAAGUAGAUUGCGAAGGUUGAAGAAUUCAAGUAAAGGGAUAAAGCUGAGUGAUGGGAAAGGGUUAGGCGGUAAGGGAAGAUUGACCGAUGGGAAGAUUGAUGUGUUGCAAAAUUAUUAUGGUCUUGCUGUGGGAGAGAAUUUGAAAGAUGUCAACAGCAUGGCCAGAUCUAUUAAAGCAGUGCUUUAUCAUGUUGCCUCAACUGAGUCAGAUCCACAGCAUAUCACCUUUGUCCGAACGGAGACGACAGUUGGUGCGGGUACAAAAGAGACAAGGAAACUUAUGAGCACAAGAAGGGCAUUCCCAAGUGCAUUGUUGAAGUUAUUGAGCCAGUGUUUGAUGACCUGAGCAAGGCUGAGCUUCUACAAAAGUGCACUCAUGGCUUGACUCAAAAUGUAAAUGAGUGUCUCAAUGGGCUAAUUUGGGAUCGAUAUCCUAAAACCACCUAUGUGGAACAGGAAACUGUAGCAUUGGCAACUUAUUUGGCAGUGCUUAAAUUUCAUGAUGGAGACAUCUCCUAUUUGAAGAUAUAUGAAGACCUGGACAUAAAGCCUGGGAUGUUCACCUGCCAAGCUGCUCAAAAAUGCGACCAAUCUCGGAUCCGUUUAUCGGCUA